AGUGAACGCUGGCGGUAGGCCUAACACAUGCAAGUCGAACGGCAGCACAGUAAGAGCUUGCUCUUACGGGUGGCGAGUGGCGGACGGGUGAGGAAUACAUCGGAAUCUACUUUUUCGUGGGGGAUAACGUAGGGAAACUUACGCUAAUACCGCAUACGACCUACGGGUGAAAGCAGGGGAUCUUCGGACCUUGCGCGAUUGAAUGAGCCGAUGUCGGAUUAGCUAGUUGGCGGGGUAAAGGCCCACCAAGGCGAUGAUCCGUAGCUGGUCUGAGAGGAUGAUCAGCCACACUGGAACUGAGACACGGUCCAGACUCCUACGGGAGGCAGCAGUGGGGAAUAUUGGACAAAGGGUGCAAGCCUGAUCCAGCCAUACCGCGUGGGUGAAGAAGGCCUUCGGGUUGUAAAGCCCUUUUGUUGGGAAAGAAAAGCAGCAGGUUAAUACCCCGCUGUUCUGACGGUACCCAAAGAAUAAGCACCGGCUAACUUCGUG
rnacentral:rRNA from 1 species